GAGGAACCUGUUGCAGCCCAAGGCAGUCAACCUAAAAGGCCUUGCCGCAUCAACUAUGAAGCAAAAACUCUGAUUGAAAAAAUCCUGACUACAAAGCCUGGAGGUGACCGUAUCAUCGAGGAGUAUGCAAAAACAAAAUCAAUCACAGAUUCAACCAGAAGACGGCUCAUCAACAUACUUGCUGCAGAAAUGACGGAAACACAUGGGACCUCGCCGCCGCGGAGUGUGAAAGUGAUGUAUGCACAGGGGAUUAUCGCUCUGUUUCCAUAUCUUGAAGACCCAUACUCACAGAAUGGCUAUGUAAGUAAAGGUUUUACAAUAUAUCACCCCUUCAAACUGUUGCUUGUAUGAAUGGUAACGCUUUAUUUUAGUGUUACAUCUAUAACCACGAAUACAUACAAUGUUAAUGCCGGUAUAAGUAACUUUGAAGGCAUGUACUAAGCAAAAUCAAACAUUUGUUAGGUCCUUACUAAGG